GUGAACGCUGGCGGUAGGCCUAACACAUGCAAGUCGAACGGCAGCACAGUAAGAGCUUGCUCUUACGGGUGGCGAGUGGCGGACGGGUGAGGAAUACAUCGGAAUCUACUUUUUCGUGGGGGAUAACGUAGGGAAACUUACGCUAAUACCGCAUACGACCUACGGGUGAAAGCAGGGGAUCUUCGGACCUUGCGCGAUUGAAUGAGCCGAUGUCGGAUUAGCUAGUUGGCGGGGUAAAGGCCCACCAAGGCGACGAUCCGUAGCUGGUCUGAGGGGAUGAUCAGCCACACUGGAACUGAGCCACGGUCCAGACUCCUACGGGAGGCAGCAGUGGGGAAUAUUGGACAAUGGGCGCAAGCCUGAUCCAGCCAUACCGCGUGGGUGAAGAAGGCCUUCGGGUUGUAAAGCCCUUUUGUUGGGAAAGAAAAGCAGCAGGUUAAUACCCCGCUGUUCUGACGGUACCCAAAGAAUAAGCACCGGCUAACUUCGUG
rnacentral:rRNA from 1 species